rnacentral:rRNA from 1 species
UGGGGAAUAUUGCACAAUGGGCGGAAGCCUGAUGCAGCGACGCCGCGUGAGGGAUGACGGCCUUCGGGUUGUAAACCUCUUUCGGCCCCGACGAAGGGUUUCUGACGGUAGGGGUGGAAGAAGCGCCGGCCAACUACGUGCCAGCAGCCGCGGUAAGACGUAGGGCGCGAGCGUUGUCCGGAUUUAUUGGGCGUAAAGAGCUCGUAGGCGGCUUGUUGCGUCGACUGUGAAAACCCGCGGCUUAACCGCGGGCCUGCAGUUGAUACGGGCGGGCUAGAGUUCGGUAGGGGAGACUGGAAUUCCUGGUGUAGCGGUGAAAUGCGCAGAUAUCAGGAGGAACACCGGUGGCGAAGGCGGGUCUCUGGGCCGAUACUGACGCUGAGGAGCGAAAGCGUGGGGAGCGAACAGGAUUAGAUACC